GAUGAAGAACGCAGCGAAAUGCGAUAAGUAAUGUGAAUUGCAGAAUUCAGUGAAUCAUCGAAUCUUUGAACGCACAUUGCGCCCGCCAGUAUUCUGGCGGGCAUGCCUGUUCGAGCGUCAUUUCAACCAUCAAGCCCUGCUUGCGUUGGGGUCCUGCGGCUGCCCGCAGGCCCUGAAAACCAGUGGCGGGCUCGCUGUCACCCCGAGCGUAGUAGCAACACCUCGCCCAGGGAGUGCCGCGGGCACCGGCCGUAAAACCUCGCCCCCGCGCGAGAAACACCCCAAAGGUUGACCUCGGAUCAGGUAGGAAGACCCGCUGAACUUAAGCAUAUCAAUAAGCGGAGA
rnacentral:misc_RNA from 1 species